CCAGAAAGUCAGGGGCCUGCUGACUCACUGGAACAGAACGUCCUGUUUCUUUUCUAUUUCCCGGUGGAUUCUCUAGAUUUAUGGCAGGAUUCAAGGGCCCUGAGAACUUUUUGAGGGCUUCCUGCCCACCAGCACAGAACCAGCCCACAUAACAGAUCCUCAGAGAGGAUUCUCGGAGACUCACACUCUCUGGAAAAAUGGCCAGUGUGAGGUCCAUGAAGACCCCUAAGAGCCUUCAAAGCAAACUGCGCUGUCCUCACCAUAUAACCUGGGUCCCUCUCAUUGUGCCACACGGCCUCACUCAAACACGGAAUGCCUCUUAUGAGGAUGGACCAGGCCUGUUUUUCAGGUGAAUCAAAGGAGGGUCCCCAAAUCUUGGAAACAGAAAAAGAAACUGAUACAAGGCACAGGUAAGAGGGCUGAACCCUUGUCCUUUAUUCUAGCUUGAAAAUAAAUGCUGAACAAUGCUCACUUACCACUCCAUUCACCCACAAAGAAGAGGCAAGUGAGAAGUCAAAGGAACAAAUAGCCUAGCUUGAAACCAGGUCUGCCUGAUACCCUCUGCCUCCUGAAUGGACUAGUUGAUCUUGGUAAUUCAAUCUGAAACCGCCAGCACCACAGAUUGGCUCCUCACAUUUCCUUCCCUUUGCUUCUGGUUGUCCCAGUUAAUACAAAUAGUCCCAGAUGUCCAGCUUCCUGCCAUGGCCCCAGCUUGCUCCACGCUCCUCCUCUGCCCUCUCGGAGGAGGGGCCGCAUCCCCAGGUUCGUUCAAUCAUCUUAGAAAAGGGAAGAGUGAGAAUUUGACAGGGCCUCAUACUCCCGGUAGUCACUCUCCCAUUCUAUGUGUAGGCAGCACUUUAGCUAGUGCUAAAGGAAGUUUACCGGGGCCUUGGAGAAAUUGAAAAGGCUGUGUGACCUUGGGCUAGCCCUUGGCCCUCUCUGGGCCUCCAUACUCUGAUCAGUAACACUGCAGAAUGAGGGGACUGCUGUGUGGAAAGAGCAUUGCACUGGGAGGGAAAGCCAGGAAGCCCCUCUUUGGCUAUUUGGGGCUCUUGUUAUUACUACAAAUUAGCAAUAGGUCACCAGCAAGUCAUGUAACCUCUGACUACCAGCGUCUCAAUCUGUAAAACCGAGACAGUAUCACUUCAGGCGGUUGCUGACCAAUUGUAUGAGACAAUGCAUGGCUAUGUCCUGUACCUGGAAUCAUUGUUUCUCACUACUGCAUUUUUCAGAGUUUGGAUAAAGUGAGCUAAUAAUCCAGUUGCCUUUUUAGAAGUGCUGGUGGUGUUGGAAAGGGCUGUGAUCGAGUGAGUGUCAGGACAGAGCCUCUUCUGGGAGACGUAUUCAGUGGCCCAGGCCUGGCUCGCCCCCCACCCAGUUAAGUGGAGACCUGGGGGGGCAGGGCUGGAAUGGCCUGGGUGUGCUUGGGAGGUGGGGUAAGUGCAGUCACCAAGGGUGACAGGCAGCUGCAGGAGUUCUGGGCCCUUAUAACUGGAGGAAGGAAUUCAGGAAGAGCUCACAGCCACUCAGACAUCUUGGAGCCUAGUCCCAGGCAGGACCAAGGCGGCAGCACCCAGGGUUGGGAUGCCGUGACCUGGCUCCUGGGGCGGCCCCCAGGUCAGGAGACCAUGGAACCACACACAACCAGAGCUGUUGUUCCAGAAAAGCCCAGGCUCCUCCAAGCUCAGAGAGUCUUGAGCGCACAUCUUUCAGGACAGCGUUUCUUCAGAGACGGCCGGUGGAGUUGACCACAGCUCUCAGAAGCCUGGCUAGACUUAGGAGACAGUGACAGAGGCUGCAGAAGUGCCAUGCGGAGUGCCCAACGGCCUAGCGGGGUCACGACCCAGGACCUCAGACCAGUAUCUUCUUAGAAGACUGCAGGGAGAGUGGCUGGAAGAGCCGGGUACCUGUCACCACCAACAGCCCCAUUUCGGAUGGGGAGCUGAAGCUCCAGGACUCACCCCAAGUUGCCCAGCACGCCAGCUGCCACACAGGGCCAUGGAAACGGCAGUGAUUGGCGUAGUGGCAGUGCUCUUUGUGGUUACUGUAGCCAUCACCUGCGUCCUCUGCUGCUUCAGCUGUGACUCGAAGGCCCAGGAUCCUCAGGGGGGCCCGGGCCGCAGCUUCACAGUGGCCACAUUUCACCAGGAGGCCUCUCUCUUCACAGGGCCAGGUGGCCAUGCCCAGGCAGUGGCGGGUGCCCGGGACUUCUGGACCUUCAUGUGAGGCCUAACGGCCCCCAGGAUUUGCUCUGCUGGUGGGUCAGACUCACCUGCCCCCCAACAAGCCUUCCCUGACGCCCCACUCCUCCAAGUCGGGCAUUCCUGUCCUUCCCUGCCUGUAUCCAGCAAACUGUCUGUUGCAUCCAUGUCAUUCUGGUUGCUGCGCCCCGGGAGAUCCACAGUGGUGGGACCAGAUGGGAGUCAGCCCUGACCCAUGAGAGCUCAGCUGGACCCUACCCACGGUAUGGGGCUUACGAGAGGUCUGAAGAGUGAGUGACUGAACAGUGUUGGAUUGCACGGUGGGCCAGGUUUCUGAUCCACAGGGGAACUGGAAUUUAAUGUAAAAAGAGUUCCGUUAACUCAGGUUAACCCCAGGAUGCCUACGCAACUGUUCCUAUUGCCACCAGAGGAAGCAGCUCCCUCAAGUGGACAUUUUUACAACCCACUUCUUACCUGCUCCCCUAAUUGAGUCUUUUGGCUGCUUGCAUGUGCACAUCCCACAAAGCCCAGCCCUGAGACCUGCCCCUGCCAGUUGCCUGAAAUCAGCCCUGAAAUUCUGAAACCAAAGGGCUACUUCCUGAGAACAAGUGAUUUAUUUUAUAAUUGAAAAUGUAUAUCCUUUUAUGGGUCUCCCAAGAGUCAGGGUUGGAAAACCACAAAAGGAAACAGAAGAGAAAAUCAGAGUCACGGAAAGUAUGAGGUAUUUUAUUAACAGGAAAGCCGGAAAGAAGACUUUAAACACAUUUGGAAUGAGACUUAAUUACUCUUUUCUUAUUGGCCACUUCUAUUAGAGAAUGUGACUUGAGUCACUUCGAACGACAGAAAAUCAGGAACUCAAAGACAGUGCCAUAUGAGUUAAAAUGUUACACUGAGAGCAUGAACAAAGCUCUUGUUUCCAUCACAAAUAAAGAAAGGCUCAGAUUUUUUCAUAGAAAAUCUGCUUUCUCUGUACCCAUGAAAUAAAAGCUCUGCCAUGUUUGGAGUAUAGUUUGAAGGGUA